AGAAAAGCCAGGUGUAGUUGAUCAUCCGAAGAGAAAUCCAGAAGAUAAAAACUAUAAUUAUUUGGAUCCUAAGGGUAGUUCGCGGGAGGUUGUGAUCAUUUAUAUUUUCAGAAGUCUGCCCUUCAUCUGUCUGUUGGCGGCGUUCUUUUACCUAAACAGGAACAACAAACUAGUCUCAUCAUCAAGACCAGGUUCAUAUGAGGAGCUGUCUGUGAUUCAGAGCCCAUCGAGCAUCACUGUGAAUGAAGGAGAAUCUGAUCAAAUCAGCUGCUGCUGGAGUAAAACAAAAGAAGAAAACAGUGAUUUUAAAGUAGCUUGGUAUAAGGAUAAGAAAAGAAUACCAGUAGAAAAGCGGCUAUAUCAAACGUCCCCAAUGAAAAACUGCUCCUUUCUGAAAAUCACAAAUAUAGUUAAAAAUGACACUGGAGAUUAUGUUUGUAAAGUGAUUCAGGACAUACCAGUUCUGCUAGAAUAUGAAGGACAAAAAACUUACCUGAAUGUCUGUAAAGGUGAACACAGCACUGAGGCAACAACUCAAAGUAAGAUUCUUCUUCCACACUCAUUCCUCUCAUUCAUAUAUGGCAUUCUUUGUCAUUUCACAUAGCAUUAAGAUUCAUGUCAUUGGAUUUAAGGGAUCUAGCCAACCCUAUUCAUUAGAAGCAGGUGUCCACAUAAUUCAGGUCAUGUUGUGGACUUUUAUGACUUCAUAUAAUAAUAUAGUAAUACAAAUUAUCUCUAAAUGAUUAGUUGUCUAAUUUUUUCUGCUGACAUCAUUACAGGCAGUGCUAGUACAUCUACCCAAAAAACUCAAAUCAAUGGGACUACCGGCCCCCCUUCACCUCCCAUCCUACCUCUAUCUCUGGCUGCUGCCAUUGGCCUGCUGACCCUCUGCUUGGCCUUCAGCGUGUGCAAGAUGAGAAACUCCUG
rnacentral:lncRNA from 1 species